GACGAACGCUGGCGGCGUGCUUAACACAUGCAAGUCGAACGAAGUGGCGAACGGGUGAGUAUUACGUGGGUAACCUGCCCUCCUUUUUGGGAUAAGCCUUUGAAACGGGGUCUAAUACCGAAUAAAGGGGGAUGGGCUCGCGGCCUAUCGGCUUGUUGGUGGGGUGCUGGCCUACCAAGGCGGUGACGGGUAGCCGUCCUGAGCGGGUGAACGGCCACAUUGGGACUGAGAUACGGCCCAGGCGAGUACGCGAGGGAGAAUUGGGGGAUAUUGCAGAAUGGGCGAACGACUGAUGCAGCGACGGCGAGGGGGGGAUGAAGGCUUUCGGGUUGUAAACCUCUUUCGCAAUCGAACGGGUAGGUAGAGAAGAAGCGCCGGCUAACUACGUGCCAGCAGCCGCGGUAAUAC
rnacentral:rRNA from 1 species